rnacentral:tRNA from 2 species
GAUCCGGUAGCUCAGUCUGGCCGAGCGGAGGGCUCUUAACCCUUGGACGUGAGUUCGAAUCUCACUCGGAUCAC